rnacentral:rRNA from 1 species
GACGAACGCUGGCGGCGUGCUUAACACAUGCAAGUCGAACGGAAAGGCCCUGCUUUUGUGGGGUGCUCGAGUGGCGAACGGGUGAGUAACACGUGAGUAACCUGCCCUUGACUUUGGGAUAACUUCAGGAAACUGGGGCUAAUACCGGAUAGGAGCUCCUGCUGCAUGGAGGGGGUUGGAAAGUUUCGGCGGUUGGGGAUGGAUUCGCGGCUUAUCAGCUUGUUGGUGGGGUAGUGGUUUACCAAGGCUUUGACGGGUAGCCGGCCUGAGAGGGUGACCGGCCACCUUGGGCCUGCGAUACGCCCCAGACUCCUACGGGAGGCAGCGGUGGGGAAUCUUGCACAAUGGGCGGAAGCCUGAUGCAGCAACGCCGCGUGCGGGAUGACGGCCUUCGGGUUGUAAACCGCUUUCGCCUGUGACGAAGCGUGAGUGACGGUAAUGGGUAAAGAAGCACCGGCUAACUACGUG